UCUAGGUCCUUGAGGAAUCACCACACUGUCUUCCACAAUGGUUGAACUCAUUUACACUCCCACCAACAGUGGAAAAGGGUUCCUGUUUCUCCACCCUCUCCAGCCUCUGUUGGAAGAAGACAUUGUUACCACAGGAGAUGACAGCUCCAUGUGUGUUCCUGCCCGUGAAGACCUUCCAUUGGGACAAGAUCUUCCCGGCAGCCUCUGGAAGGCCAUCAAACCAGCUGAUUGAAAGAUGAAUAUGAGUUAGCAAAGAAACACCUUCCUGAACAGAGAAAAUCUGUGAGACUGUAAUAUAUGAAAAUAACAUUUUUGUUAUUUUCAAGUGAAAAUGUAUAAUAUUCUAUGUGUUUUUAAAUGUUUCUUGAUUUUUUUUUUGCUUGUAGUUUAUUCCUACUAAACUUGAGGAACAUGCAAUUAAAGCUUUGCUUUCUCUCUCUCUUUCUCAUGCCUUCUCUCUCUCUCUUUUUCAUACACACAAACAGCUUGGGCUUACUACCAAGGCAGAAUGAAUUCUGUCAAUUAUCUCAUUAUUUAGAAAAUGAGUUAUUUACUUGCAUUGAAUUAUGGUUUAAAAUAACUUUCUUGUUGUAUUUCUCUUUCCUUCCAAAAUUGAUUCAUGUAUGUAUACAGUAAUAACCUGAAUGGCAUAAAAUUUUCAAAUUUGGAAAGUUUGAGCUAAUCACUUUAAUAUCCAUAUUGAUUUACCUAAAAAUAAUGAAGAAGAUCUAAAAUCAAAUGGGAUAACCCAGUUUCCAAAAUAGCCACAUGUGUACUUACUCAUGGCAAGUAAAAUUUAGGGCAUAUGUAUUUAUUUAUUUAUUUUCAUACCUAUUUAACUUGCAUAAAGUGGGUAUGCUGGUCAUUUUAAAAAAUGAUUGAGACUUAAUUUAUCGCUUUUAAGGCUAAUUUAAUUACAAAUAUUCCAAUAGCCCCAUAAUGCUAAACUUUUGUAUCUAGCAUUAAUGUUAACUUUAAUUAACAUUAUAUGUUUACAUAUUAAUAUUAUAUCUGUUAGUUACCUCUGUGAGAUCUGCAGAAAAUAAAAAUAUUAUACUUUACACACCUGUCUUAAGACACACAGUUCCACUUUCUCUAAAUUGGUGUGAUAAUCAUUGAUAUUUUAAAACCUUAUCCAGAUGUGCACUUAAUAAUACAGUACAGAUUUCUCUUUAACAAACUAUAUUUCAAGUCUGAUUCUUAAAAAAAAAAAAACCCCAAAAUUCUUCCCCCCAAAUAGCUAAAUCCAUAGUCUGGAGUAUGCACAAUUGAGAGUCAAAAUUUCCACUCUUCUAACAUAAGAAUAAAGUGAUAAAAAAAAAAAACAUGACAUUAAAAAUAUUCUUUUAGCAAUGUGAUA